GACGAACGCUGGCGGCGUGCCUAACACAUGCAAGUCGAACGGAAAGGCGCUGCAUUUGUGGGGUGCUCGCGUGGCGAACGGGUGAGUAACACGUGAGUAACCUGCCCUUGACUUUGGGAUAACUUCAGGAAACUGGGGCUAAUACCGGAUAGGAGCUCCUGCUGCAUGGUGGGGGUUGGAAGGUUUCGGCGGUUGGGGAUGUACUCGCGGCUUAUCCGCUUGUUGGUGGGGUAGUGGCUUACGAAGGCUUUGACGGGUAGCCGGCCUGAGAGGGUGACCGGCCACAUUGGGACUGAGAUACGGCCCAGACUCCUACGGGAGGCAGCAGUGAGAAAUAUUGCACGAUGGGCGGAAGCCGGAUGCAGCAACUCCGCGUGCGGGAUGACGGCCUUCGGGUUGUAAACCGCUUUCGCCUGUGACGAAGCGGGAGUGACGGUAAUGGGUAAAGAAGCACCGGCUAACUACGUG
rnacentral:rRNA from 1 species